UACGUAGGGGGCGAGCGUUGUCCGGAUUUACUGGGCGUAAAGAGCGCGCAGGCGGCUGGUCAAGUCCGAUGUGAAAGCUCCCGGCUUAACUGGGAAAUUGCAUCGGAAACUGAUCGGCUGGAAGGUGGGAGAGGGUAGCGGAAUUCCCGGUGUAGUGGUGAAAUGCGUAGAUAUCGGGAGGAACACCGAUGGCGAAGGCAGGUCUCUGGGCAUUAACUGACGCUGAGGAGCGAAAGCAUGGGGAGCGAACAGG
rnacentral:rRNA from 1 species